CCUACGGGUGGCAGCAGUGGGGAAUAUUGGACAAUGGGCGAAAGCCUGAUCCAGCCAUGCCGCGUGUGUGAAGAAGGCCUUCGGGUUGUAAAGCACUUUCAGUGGGGAAGAAAGCCUUGGGGCUAAUACCCUCGAGGAAGGACAUCACCCACAGAAGAAGCACCGGCUAACUCCGUGCCAGCAGCCGCGGUAAUACGGAGGGUGCGAGCGUUAAUCGGAAUUACUGGGCGUAAAGCGCGCGUAGGCGGUCUGAUAAGCCGGUUGUGAAAGCCCCGGGCUCAACCUGGGAACGGCAUCCGGAACUGUCAGGCUAGAGUGCAGGAGAGGAAGGUAGAAUUCCCGGUGUAGCGGUGAAAUGCGUAGAGAUCGGGAGGAAUACCAGUGGCGAAGGCGGCCUUCUGGACUGACACUGACGCUGAGGUGCGAAAGCGUGGGUAGCAAACAGGAUUAAAUACCCUAGUAGUC
rnacentral:rRNA from 1 species